GUGGAAUCAGUUUAAUAGGCUAAACAGUCGUUUUUAAGCGAAAGAUUGAUGGUUCAAAUCCAUCAUUCCACU
rnacentral:tRNA from 1 species